rnacentral:lncRNA from 1 species
AGAGGUCCUAGUUUUAGCCCAGACUGGAGGACCGGACCAGCCUGGAGUUGAUUUGCUUGGGGCCAGAGGAGGAGCGCUGGAAAGAGAGGAAAAAACCGAGACCACCCCUGGGAAGAUGAAUAGGUAGGACUGCCCAAGGCCCAAUCAUGACCCCAGCCUCCGUUCUUCUAUCCGUCUGACUCUAAAGGUGGAAAGCUGGUCAAGGUAGCCUGCGAGACAAGACGUGGGCACUUUGGUGGGGGAAGGGACGGUCCGUCUCUGCUCAGCCCAGGGAACGCGGCCACUGUGGCCCCGGAACAAUUCAGUUUGGGGAGGUGGUAAAGAGCGCCCCAGGGGACGCGGGCACGGACGCCCCUUGGUCGUGGGCGAGGCCUUCGCGGCUUCAGCAAGCAGCGGGAAACUGCCCCGGGAGACACCCUAGGAGGGCUUCCUGACAGGCCGGGUGAGCCUUCGAGGCUGGAAGAGACUCCCCAACAAGAGGACCACUACAGUUUUUGCGGGCCCUUCUGUCUGCGCGUGCGCGCCAGACGCGGGUCCCGCCCGGACAGGAAGGGACCCUGGAGAUCAGUUAGCGGUGGAAGACUAACACCAAUACGCCAGCGUUAUUAAACUAGCACGGAGGAGACCCAAUCACCGGGAGAAUAACUUGCGACUUCCGGCCGAGCAGACGGUGCAACCCCUUCGCUUCCGGCCGCGGCCGCCCGCGCCUGCGCACUGGGGGCUAGUCAACCCCUGGAGGAGCGUACCAUCCGCAGGCGGAGAGAUUCAUGUAGAGGCUCUCCACAGUGUCAGCCUCAUAGUCAUCAUCCCGGUGUGCUUCGGUGGAAGGGAGAGCGGUGGUCUGACCGUCGCUGCCGGUGAUUGCACAAGACCCCAGAUCUACCCAGGGAGUCCGUCUGGAGUUGAGGAUCCUGAAGUGUAGCCUAAGUGAGGCAGGUCUGGCGCAGGCCCAGUUUCAUAGCCUGCUCCGAGUUCUCAGUGGGGACGAUGCCUACAGACUGCUUCCGGAGGCCCGCGGCCAGCUCUCCUCUCCCGCUGUGUCACUGAUUAUCACGCUCCUACUCUGGAUUUCCAAUUCUUCCACCAUAAAGUCAGAGCUGAGGUAAGCCCGCUCCAGUUCUGACAUCUCAGGGCACUUCUGGGACCAGAACGGUGUCUCCCAUCUCAUCGGAGACCUCGUCCAGCCCAUCCG